rnacentral:rRNA from 1 species
AUGAACGCUAGCGGCAGGCUUAACACAUGCAAGUCGAGGGGCAGCGGGGAGUAGCAAUACUCCGCCGGCGACCGGCGCACGGGUGCGUAACGCGUAUGCAACCUACCUUUAACAGGGGCAUAACACUGAGAAAUUGGUACUAAUUCCCCAUAACAUUCGAGAAGGCAUCUUCUUGGGUUAAAAACUCCGGUGGUUAAAGAUGGGCAUGCGUUGUAUUAGCUAGUUGGUGAGGUAACGGCUCACCAAGGCGACGAUACAUAGGGGGACUGAGAGGUUAACCCCCCACAUUGGUACUGAGACACGGACCAAACUCCUACGGGAGGCAGCAGUGAGGAAUAUUGGUCAAUGGACGCAAGUCUGAACCAGCCAUGCCGCGUGCAGGAAGACGGCUCUAUGAGUUGUAAACUGCUUUUGUACUAGGGUAAACGCUCUUACGUGUAGGAGCCUGAAAGUAUAGUACGAAUAAGGAUCGGCUAACUCCGUGCCAGCAGCCGCGGUAAUACGGAGGAUCCAAGCGUUAUCCGGAUUUAUUGGGUUUAAAGGGUGCGUAGGCGGUUUGAUAAGUUAGAGGUGAAAUACCGGGGCUCAACUCCGGAACUGCCUCUAAUACUGUUGAACUAGAGAGUAGUUGCGGUAGGCGGAAUGUAUGGUGUAGCGGUGAAAUGCUUAGAGAUCAUACAGAACACCGAUUGCGAAGGCAGCUUACCAAACUAUAUCUGACGUUGAGGCACGAAAGCGUGGGGAGCAAACAGGAUUAGAUACCCUGGUAGUCCACGCCGUAAACGAUGAUUGCUAGGUGCAGGUGGGUAUGGACCCAUCGGUGCCGCAGCUAACGCAAUAAGCAAUCCACCUGGGGAGUACGUUCGCAAGAAUGAAACUCAAAGGAAUUGACGGGGGCCCGCACAAGCGGAGGAACAUGUGGUUUAGUUGGAUAAUACGCGAGGAACCUUACCCGGGCUUGAAAGUUAGUGACGAUUCUGGAAACAGGAUUUCCCUUCGGGGCACGAAACUAGGUGCUGCAUGGUUGUCGUCAGCUCGUGCCGUGAGGUGUCGGGUUAAGUCCCAUAACGAGCGCAACCCCUACCGUUAGUUGCCAUCAGGUCAAGCUGGGCACUCUGGCGGGACUGCCGGUGUAAGCCGAGAGGAAGGUGGGGAUGACGUCAAAUCAGCACGGCCCUUACGUCCGGGGCUACACACGUGUUACAAUGGUAGGUACAGAGGGCCGCUACCCCGCGAGGGGAUGCCAAUCUCGAAAGCCUAUCUCAGUUCGGAUCGGAGGCUGAAACCCGCCUCCGUGAAGUUGGAUUCGCUAGUAAUCGCGCAUCAGCCAUGGCGCGGUGAAUACGUUCCCGGGCCUUGUACACACCGCCCGUCACACCAUGAGAGUUGGCAACACCCGAAGCCGGCGGCCCAACCCGCAAGGGAGGGAGCUGUCUAAGGUGGGGCUGAUGAUUGGGGUG